GACGAACGCUGGCGGCGUGCUUAACACAUGCAAGUCGAACGGAAAGGCCCUGCUUUUGUGGGGUGCUCGAGUGGCGAACGGGUGAGUAACACGUGAGUAACCUGCCCUUGACUUUGGGAUAACUUCAGGAAACUGGGGCUAAUACCGGAUAGGAGCUCCUGCUGCAUGGUGGGGGUUGGAAAGUUUCGGCGGUUGGGGAUGGACUCGCGGCUUAUCAGCUUGUUGGUGGGGUAGUGGCUUACCAAGGCUUUGACGGGUAGCCGGCCUGAGAGGGUGACCGGCCACAUUGGGCCUGAGAUACGGACCAGACUCCUACGGGAGGCAGCAGUGGGGAAUAUUGCACAAUGGGCGGAAGCCUGAUGCAGCAACGCCGCGUGCGGGAUGACGGCCUUCGGGUUGUAAACCGCUUUCGCCUGUGACGAAGCGUGAGUGACGGUAAUGGGUAAAGAAGCACCGGCUAACUACGUG
rnacentral:rRNA from 1 species